CAAACUGGGAUUAGAUACCCCACUAUGCCAUACCAUAAAUUUCACUUACACUUAAAACGCCAGGGUACUACGAGCCCCGCUUAAAACCCAAAGGAUUUGACGGUGUUCCACCCAACUAGAGGAGCCUGUUCUAUAAUCGACAAUCCACGAUCUACCUAACCAUUUUUUGCUACUCAGCCUGUAUACCUCCGUCGUAAGCUUAUCAUUUGAAUGAGAAAAAGUAAGCACAAGGACUAAAAGCCAAAACGUCAGGUCAAGGUGCAGCUUAUAAAAUGGAAGAAAUGAGCUACAAUUUCUAAUUUAGAACACACGAAUUACUGCAUGAAACAAAGUCAUGAAGGUGGAUUUAGCAGUAAGUAAGGAAUAGAGAGCCUUACUUAAUUUGGCCCUGGAACGUGUACACACCGCCCGUCACCCUCUGCAGUCAAAA
rnacentral:rRNA from 1 species